rnacentral:rRNA from 1 species
AUUGAACGCUGGCGGCAGGCCUAACACAUGCAAGUCGAACGAGUGGCGGACGGGUGAGUCAUGUAUGGGAAACUGCCUGAUGGAGGGGGAUAACUACUGGAAACGGUAGCUAAUACCGCAUACCAUCAGAUGUGCCCAGAUGGGAUUAGCUAGUAGGUGGGGUAAAGGCUCACCUAGGCGACGAUCCCUAGCUGGUCUGAGAGGAUGACCAGCCACACUGGAACUGAGACACGGUCCAGACUCCUACGGGAGGCAGCAGUGGGGAAUAUUGCACAAUGGGCGCAAGCCUGAUACAGCCAGGCCGCGUGUAUGAAGAAGGCCUUGGGGUUUUAAAGUACGUUCAGCGGGGAGGCGUUACCCGCAGAAGAAGCACCGGCUAACUCCGUGCCAGCAGCCGCGGUAAUUC